UUUUUCUCAUAUAAUUUAGUUUUAAUUUAUUUCCUUAUGGCACAGACGUUUCGUUUAAAAGAUUUAAUAGAAAGAAAUAUCUCUUUCUUUCUCAUUAUUUCAUAAUCAGAGAUAUCUCAAUGACUAUCACAGGCUGCCUCUAUAACUCAUUAUAACUUUCUGUCUUUGUCAUAAAGUUAUCUAAGUAGUUUUAUUUUUGUUAUUGUAAUGAUGUUUAAAAAGCAGUAGUGAUUAGUAAUUUUCCUCAUUUUUUUUCAGAGGAAUUAUAUUUAACUAAAGUCAUCUCAUGGAUUUUAAAAACCUCCCUAAUAUGUACCUCAUUAUAGCUAUGACCAUUAAAAUGUCUGGCUCGAGAGAAACAGAUGAAGUCACACUUGCUCAGAUUUUUUCUUAAAUGAGCACGUUAUCUUUUUAUAAGGGUAGUUAUUUUCCAUAUAACGGGUAAUUUCUGUGGCUCCUGUUGUUUGCAUUUUUCCCUUUUUAAUUCAUUUCAACGGUAAUACUCUAAAGCAGUUGCUUUUAAAAGCAGAAAAUUCUAUGAGAAAUUGAGUCAAUGAAUGUUUUGAAGAUGACGAACAGUGAAUGAUCCAAAACAAAAACUGUAAUCAAUUCAAAUCUGUAAAUAAGGCAUAAAACAAGGAUCACAGGAAAUCACAGCUGUGGGAUCAGGUGCCUUGGAGGACUAAGCAUCCCAUAACGAUCCGGUCACACCUGUUACUAGCAUAAUGUAAUGAUCAGAGAGAUGGAAUAUUCCGUGCUCAGUUUCAGUAUCAAAAGCUGAAAUAGUUAAGUCAUAAUAACCACAGAAAUUAUCCAUUGUAUGGUAUUUUUAUGGUAGAUAUUCUAUCUAUUACAACCUCCCUUUAUACCUUAAUUAUUGUAGCUUUCUGUCUCUGUCAUUAAGUUAUUUAAGUUGUAUUUUUUAAAUGGUAAGGGUGUUUAAGGAAAACGGUAAUGAUUAGUAAUUUCCCUUUAUUUUUUUAGAGGAAUUACAUUUUAACCUACGAUAUAUCAAGAAUUUUAAAAACCUCCCUCUUUACCUCAUUAAAGUUUUGAACAUUAAAAUGUCUGACCUAUAUUUUGUGUCAUAAUCUACACUGUUUUUUCAGUACUUGCUUUUGAUGCAAUUCAAAUAAUUAUAUUAAUAUUUAUAUGGUAAUAAAGUUGCGAGGUCCGUUCACAACUCCUCCUGCAUCCAGCGGCACCUGGCAACGGACACAGGUUUUCUAGAGCUUUUUUAAUAUCGAUUUAAAUCGUUCUAUCUCUAGUUUUUUCCUGGCCGGCCCUGAUGCUAUGUAAAGGGGGUAUUAAGAAUUUUAAACAUUUCCUGUCAUGGAAAGAAAAGGACAGAUUGUGUCAUGUUUUUUCUGCAUUACGAAAUAUAUUUGUAUGUUAUACAUGUACAUGUACAUGCAUCAAUCACGACUGGCUGUUAGGCAUUGUAUGUUUGUGUUGUGGUUUAGUCUAAUGUGAGUAGAGUUAAUACCCAGUCUUACUCAUGGGGUACAUCCACAUUAAGCUUUGUUUUCAGGUACCCUGGUAUGCCAGAGUUUUGAUGUAUGUUUAGUUAAUUUAUUUCCAUAAUACCUUUACAUAUACAUGUAUUUGUCCAUCUCUUGUUUUGUGGUUUUUUAAUGUAAAUAAAGGUGUAUAAAUUUC